ACAGCCAUACCACAUUGAAAACACCGGUUCUCGUCCGAUCACUAAAGUUAAGCAAUGUCGGGCCCGGUCAGUACUUGGGAGGGUGACCACCUGGUAACACCAGGUGUUGUAGGCU
rnacentral:rRNA from 1 species